rnacentral:lncRNA from 1 species
AAUUUUAAGGUUUAUUUAGCAACACUCUAGAUAAAUCCAUACAUACGUAAAACGAGCAUAAUAAUAGUAGCUAGUAGGAAUUAUAUCCCAACAAUUCAACAAGAACGAACAAAGUAGUGAUAUUCUCACUCUCAUAGCAAUACUACAAAUAAUAGGACAAAACAAUAUUUGUAAACACACGAGUGGUCCAUAUAGUUCUCCAGAAAUCCCUAAAAUAGAUCUUGCAUCUAGGUAUGCAACACCACAUGAAAGGCCCAUACCAUAUGUGAUUAUGAACCUUUAUUUAACUACAUAUAGAUAUAGUAGUACAACAAAUAUUACUGUCCGGCUGGGAAACGAAACCGUCAAUAUGCCACUGACAAUAUGCCGAUAUAAUUGUCGCAAACAAAACGUACUCACAUGUUAUCGAUACAAUUUCACCAAUAUUAACGGACAUAUAUUAUUUCAACAAUGUCGAUGCACACAACCUUUAUUUAAUAAAGAACUGAUGGCUUGCAUAGAGAACUUCUGAGAUAUUCAUCAGAGACAUAUAUGUAUACACCAUUUUUAUUAAGGGGUGGUGGUUAUUGAAGGUGGAGAGAACGGAAAUAUGGGAGUUGAUGGGAAAUUUGGAAGUGAAGUAAUAAUAGGGGGAGGCAACCUAUAUUCUGGCCAUAAAGGUGCGGGGGUCAGAGGAGGAAACUUCAGGUUCCGAGGAGGAAACUUCAGGUUAGGGAUCUUAGGCAGCUUAUAAUGAGGAAAGGUAGGGGCUAAGAGUUUUCGAGGAGCGGCGAAAGCUAAAUGUGUGCUUGAAAGUAAUGAAGCGACGACAAAGAUAGCUAUGACAAACGAUUUCCAAGUGGCCAUCUUAGUGUGUGGAAAUAAAGCUGAUGAAAUUUGAUGUGGACGAGAAGACCAGCCUAUGGUUAUAAUUUAUAACGUUGAUUCCAUUGGGAACAAGAACAACCCCAUUUAUUUUUGGUUUUAAAUGCUGUAAAAUUCUGUUGAAAAAUAAAAAUAUGUCAGAUGCCGGUAUGGGUCAAAAUUUAGAAUAGGAUAGUACUAAUUUGUAGUUUUCCAUUAAAAGUCUCGCAGUUGGUAGGUACACCUAUCAUUGUCUUGGUUUCUAUUUUGCUUUGCCAUGCCAUUCUUCACAAAGAGAUAUGCCAUUUUUCUCGUUCUUCUUGAAAAGGAAAGGUUGAUAGAAUAAUUAAUCUCAAAGAUAAAAUAGACUUUGGCUGGAAAGGGAUAAUGAAAUGAUUGAAAAAGGCGAUGCGGCCCUUUGUUGUUUUGUUGCCGAUAACAAUAUAUAUAUAUAUAUAUAUAUAUAUACAGAGAGCUUUCAUUGAGGGAUCCUUCAAAUAAGCUUAUUUGAGGGACACCCCUUGUAGGCCCCAUUCCGGAUUGUAUUUCACUAAUCCAAACCGUCUAUUUUGUACAUACUCAUUCAAAGAUCAUCUCAACAAAAAAUCACUUGAAUCCGAUAUUAUUUGACCACUCAAUUAAGCUAUUGAAAUUUUAGCAUUUUCUUGAAGCAUCGUAUUCUUUGAUUUUGUAAGACACAAUUGGAUGUCGAAAUGGUUUCCGAUUUGUCUAAUUUUUUGUAAGGAUGAUCUAUGAAUAAAGACCUAAAAAAUAGAUGGUUUGGAUCAUUGGGAAAAAAAAUUGUGGGGUACCCUAAGGGGUGUCCCUCAAAUAAAAUUAUUUGAGGGAUCCCUCAAUAGAAGGGGACUGAUAUAUAGAGAGCUUCUAUUGAGGGAUCCCUCAAAUAAGCUUAUUUGAGGGACACCCCCUUGUAGGCCCCAUUCCGGAUUGUAUUCACUAAUCCAAACCGUCUAUUUUGUACAUACUCAUUCAAAGAUCAUCUCAACAAAAAAUCACUUGAAUCCGAUAUUAUUUGACCACUCAAUUAAGCUAUUGAAAUUUUAGCAUUUUCUUGAAGCAUCGUAUUCUUUGAUUUUGUAAGACACAAUUGGAUGUCGAAAUGGUUUCCGAUUUGUCUAAUUUUUUGUAAGGAUGAUCUAUGAAUAAAGACCUAAAAAAUAGAUGGUUUGGAUCAUUGGGAAAAAAAAUUGUAGGGUACCCUAAGGGGUGUCCCUCAAAUAAAAUUAUUUGAGGGAUCCCUUAAUAGAAGGGGACUGUAUAUAUAUAUAUAUAUAUAUAUGUUAUAUUGUUGUUUGGGUGUGGUCUCCAAUUCCAAGUCAAGUCACGUCAAGUCAAUGGUCUCAAUUUCAAGCCAAGUUAAUAGACUCAAUUUCAAGCCAAGUCAAGUGGUUCCAAUUUCAAACUAAGUCAAGACAGACUCAACUUCACAAGAAAUUAUUAUUUACAAUGAAAGUAAAUAAAUGAAAGACCAAGGAGUUUUGGUUGGGAUUUCACUCAAAGGCGAACUAGUGGCCCAUGGAUUCUCUCUCUCUCUCUCUCUCUCUCUCUCUCUCUCUCUCUAUAUAUAUAUAUAUAUAUAUUUAAUACGAAGGAGUAAGAAGUCAUAUGAACUUUGGCCAAGUUUCUUGAAAAUGCCAAAUUGCCUAAAGAUCUUUAGGCAAAAAGAUCUGAUGAAAGUUCGAAGGCUAACUUUAUGGCUUUAUACUAUCUAUAUAAUAAUAUUUAAACUCAACAUGAUGCAGAUGGACUCAUUAGAAUUCUAAAUCACCCAACAUCAGUGGAUUAUGUUUAAUCAAAACUAGAAACUCCGGAAACCAUGAUGUCUCACCAGAAGAAAAUAAUGCCCUGUUGAAACUGGUGAGUUCGUACUCCAUUGGUACGCUGAGAAGGCUAGACAUGCUGCAGGUUUCUAAUGAAAAGAUUCUGGGAGACCAGGAGAGACUCAUGGCUAAGCUUAAGAGGCGCCAUUCUCUUCCUUCAGAGGCUUCCAGAACAUAAUGUAAUCUUUUAGAUUUUACAGAGCCUGCACCUUUAUUGCAGGUGGAAAAUCUAUCUGUUGUAUGCCUUCUUUCAUGUUAUAAUAAUUGUGCAAAUUCUUAAACUUGCACCUGUGGUUUUUACGUCUUUUCAAAAUGACGAUUUGGAACCUUGUGUCUUAUAGGUUCAAGUAACCACAUCAAAUCUCUCAAAUUACAUAUUUCAAUGCAUGUGAGCCCGGAACUUCUGGCUCGGGCUAAACACGACCUCAGAAUUUAUUCGCCCUUUUCAAAUAUGCAUGAAAUAUGAAUUGAGGAAAAGUCAUGAUAAUAUUGUAAUAUAGUAGUGAAGAGCAUUAACUACUAUAUAAUCAAAACUUCAGGUUCAGGACUUUUCAUAUAUUGGGAUCAAUGGGCUUCUAGCCCAGAUCAUAUAAUAUAACCAAAUAUGUGGGGAGCCUCAAUUCAUCAUUUGAGGUUUAUCCUGAUAUUAUCCAUUUCAUGGUGCAUUCUUAACAACCGGAAUUCACAAAAUAUAUUUCUUCCUUGAGGUGUCGAUUGUAACAGAAUUGAACUUUAUUAAAUUUAUCAUUUCUUAUGCCAAAGAAAUAUGUGGUGUACCACAAUUUGCAAUAAUACCUCAAGGGUUGCCCAUUUAACUAUAGGAACUUCAAGUUCUCAAUAUUGCCAUAUUUUAAACUUUAUGCCAAAAUCAUAUAUUCUUAUAGUAUGGGCAUUCAAUACUCUUAGAUUUUGAACUUCAGGCCAAAAUCACAUAUUCUCAUGGUAUGAACAUUUUUACAAUUUUCUGUAUGUAUUUUGGGACUUCAAGCACUUACAUAAUUGUCCAUAUUUUGAGAAACUUCUGGCAUCUCAUUUAAUUGCUCAUUUAUGAGUUUAAGGAACUGCAUGUUCCCUUUUGUAUAUAGUGACAAUUUACCCAAAAUGGUUAAUAUUUAUGCAUAUGUCACUAUUCAUGUAUACGAUACUAUUCAUCAAGUCAUGAAUACGUAUCUAUUCAUGUGUACAGUACAUUUGCUAGUACAGUUAUUAUUUAUGUGUACAUCACUUUUAACCAAUACGGUACUGUUGCAUCAUCAAGGAACUCUAGGUCUUUAUUUACAUGUCAAGGAUCAAGGAUCUUCAAGUCCGAUAUCUUGUUUACAAGUAUAGUAAACAAGAGAUUGUCAGCUCUCAUAUCAUUAUCAUCAUCAAGGAUCUUCAAGUCCUGAUGUAGUUGUAUGAUGGGGAUCAAAGAACUUUUGGUCCUGAUCUGUAUGCUGUAAAAACUCAUCAUACUGCACAAUUAAUCCAUAAAAUAAAUUGCUUGUAAAUAAAUUGCUUGAUGUAUGGACGUUAAUCCUGCGCCAUACCUUAAAUAAAAUUAAAUAUGCGGUAAAGUAAAUUCAUAAAUUAAAUUGCUUGCUGUACGGACGUUAAUCCCACACCAUACCUUAAAUAAAAGUAAAUGUGCAAUAAAGUAAAUUGCUUGUUGUAUUGGAGUUAAUUCCACACCAUACAAUAAUAAAGUAAAUGUGCUUGUAUGAGCACUAAUUCUGCUCCAUACUUUUAAAUAAAAGUAAAGGCAGUUGUGUGGACGAUAAACCUGCACCACACUUUUAAAUAAAUAUUGUUGUAUGGGUAAUAAACCUACACCAUACAAGAAAUAAAUUGUAUGAGUAAUGAACCUACACCAUAUAGUAAAUAAAAUAACUGUGGGAAUAAAACCACCACUAAAAAUAUAGGAAGUGAAACCGUCUAUUUUUAUUAGUUGUUAGUAAUAUGAAAGCAAAUAAGUAUAUUAUAUUACUAUCAACUUUUCAUAUCAAUAUUAUAAUUAUAUAUAUAAGAUAACCAUAUAUAAUAAAUUGACAGUUAUCGCUUCUGACAAUCGUGGAUUAUAUAUACUAGAUUAAGACUACCAUAUCAAAUAAUAUUCUAUAAAUAUCACUUGUGUAUAUACAUAUAACUUGAGUAUAUUGCCAUUUAUAUAUAUAAUAUGUUAUAUCAAAACCAAAAAGUUAAUGAUGCUUUAAUAUAAUAUAUAAAGCAACCAUAUAUCAAAAGGAAUCAUGGCCGACAAUGAAUCAUUGCAUAUGUGCAUGUUUUCAACUUUGUUGCUUUCACUCCUGCCAUUAGCACUCAAACUGUUUGUAUAAUCAGCAUAUAUAUAUAAGGUAGCAUUGAAUAAUGUAAAGUAUUAAUAAACGAAGAAGAUGAAAAAAUAGUGAGCUUAUCAUGUUUUGGUGGAUUUGCUCGUAUAUCUCUCUAGCAGACCACAGCUCCUUCUCUUUUCUUCCUUACAUCAACACAAUGAUCAGUAGUAUAAAUAAUAGUGCAACACAAAAAUUAUACAUGAGAGCUUCUCGUGCUAAUAACGUGUUAUACAAUAACUGGAAUAUGUGCGAAUAUUGAGCUGCACGUAAAGUGGAUGAGAAACAGUAACUUUUCCACUAUGUAAAAUAAUAGGGCUACAACUUUAGUGUUUACAAUAUAUGUAGCUCACUAAUUUUUCUCUCUUGGAGAAUUUCUCUCCUCUCACCCACUCUCUUUCUUUCUUUUCUUUCCUUCCUCUCUGCCUGACUCUCUUUCUUCUCUCAGUUGGAGUCUUCACCAAAGGAAGGGGGGAAGCCUUAUUUGUAGGCAGAAUUUUGUGGCUGCUUACUCAUUUCUCUUUGGCUUCACGUGGGUGUUGACAAGCAUCAUCAUUACUCUUCAAUUAAUUAGGUAGUGUGCUCUACCAUUUUGGCCUCCACAUUCUUGACUUUACAACAAGUAUAUAUUUUAAUAUGGAGGAGUAAGAAGUCACAACUUUGGCCAAGUUUCUUGAAAAGGACAAAUGGCCUAAAGAUCUUUAUAAAAAAGAUCUAAUGAAAGUUCGAAGGCCACCUUUAUGGCCUUAUACUAUCUAUAUAAUAUUAUUUAGACUCAACAUAUAAGGUAUAAUCAUAGUCUAAAAUAUCGAUAAUAUCGACGAAAUUAUCAUUUUUUCGAGUCACAAAUAUUUGGAACGUAUCCACACAUAUCGUAUAAAUAUCGAUAAUAUCAGAAAAUAUCGAUGUCGAUAAUUGUGCUCACUCACUACUACAAAAAAGGAAAAAGACGACGGUAAAUCACCGUCGUGUAUUCGAUUUUUCAAUGGUCGUGGAAUCCACCGUCAUCUUUUCCCUCAUAUACCACGACGCUAAAUCACCGUCGUUGUUAAAAUAUACAACGUCAUCAACAAAUACAAAACGACGUCUUUGUACUGCAAAAAGAUCUAAAAAAGCAGUCGAGGAUGAGAAUAGACGACCAACUCUCUAAAAAAACCGUCGUUAAAAAGGAAAAAUAUGACACAUAUUAAGAGAACAAGGCCGCAAGAUAGACAUACAACGACGGAAAUAAAACAACGACGCCGUUAAAUAUCAUUUUCACGACAAUAAAAAAUUUGACGUCUUUAAAUACAUUAGAAGACGACGUUAUUGAUACCUACUACGUCGCAUAUAUAAAAACAGCCGUCGUAAAAUUAAUUUUCCACUUCGAUUUUUCGAUAAAAGAUGACGUGGAAAUAGUUGUCAGUGUCAUUAUUUACGACGUAUGUAUUUAUUGAGUAGACGUUGAAAAACUAAACAACGUCGGUUACAAAUAUAUGAGAGUCGUAUUACAAAAUUUAUACGUCAUAUUUUCAGAAACAAACAACGACGAUAAAUAUUAGACGUUGUUAAAUAAAACAACGUCGGAAAACAAUAAAAACAGACGUGUUUAGUCUGCUAAAGUUCUAGAAAAUAGUCGAGGAUGAGAAUAGACGACCAACUCAAACAAAUCACCGUCGUUAAAAAGGAAAAAUAUGACACAUGUUAAAAGAAAAAGGCCGCAAGAUAUACAUACAACGACGACAACUAAAAUUUUACGCCGUUAAAUAUAAUUUACACGACAAGAAAAAAUAUGACGUCUUUAAAUACAUGAGAAGACGACGUUAUUGAAAUAUACUACGUCUCUUAUUUACAAACAACCGUCGUGAAAUAAAUUUUCCACUUCGAUUUUUCUAAAAAAGAUGACGUGGAAAUAGUUGUCAGUGUCAUUAUUUACGACGUAUGUAUUUAUACAGUUGACGUUGAAAUGCGAAACAACGUCGGUGGCAUUUAUAUAGUCGACGUUGUAUUUAUAUCUAUCAUCAUUACUCACGACGCACUUAAUAAUAUAGACGACGUUGAACUUCUAAACAACGUCGGUUCCAAAUAAAUGAGAGCCGUAUUACAGAACAUAUAGACGGCGUUGAUUAUGAUGAGAGCCGUAUUACAAAUAACGUCGUUUAAUUGUUAUUAGACGGCGGUUAUAAUGAAUUUCCGUCGGAAUUCAUUUCGUUCCUCUUCGUUUAUAAAAGAACUUGCGACGUGGAAAAUGUAUGAUGACGUCGUAUUUUUUAACGUUCAGAUUAUAUAUCUCGUUUUUUAGACGUCGGUAUUAUGGGAUUGGAGUCGUGUUAUUUUGAAUUACAUGGCGGUUCUUAAUCCUUCCCCGACGUGAUAUCCUGAUUAAUUGCUUCACAAUUGCGUCGUGGUUCUUCAUUGUUACGUUGCUUUAAGACGUCGGUAAAUAUGCUGAAUAACUGGUUCACAAUAACGUUGUGUUUUAUUUGAACGUAGAAAGUGAAGAAAUCACAUUACAAUAUAUUACAAAAUUAAUGUCAUACACUGCCAAUUACAUAAGCAUCAUUCAAUCCAUAUAUCUUCACACCCAUCUCGAAUAUUUUGACCGCCUAACUCACCCACCAGUUCAUCAAAUGUGUCAACAUUUGGCAUCCCUCUAGUAAAUGGCUCACACUCAAUUAUCACAUCACCUAAGACUUCAUCACCAAUAACAUCAUUAUAUUCUCUAUUAGGCAUUGAUAACACUACCGACCAACCACGAUGCAUCGGGUCGUCAACAAAAAAUAUUUGUUUGACUUGAGAAGCCAAAACAAAUUGGUCAUUCCUAUGUCCAAUUUUACUCAAAUCUACAAGGGUAAAUCCAAGUUCGUCGACUACAAGACCAGAACUAUCUAUCCAAUCACACCUAAAGACUGGGAUUGUAAACUUUUGGUAGUCAAGGUCCCAAAUUUCUUGAAUGACACCAUAGAAACCCAUAUUUGAGAGAAUUGGGUUUUUAUCCUUGGCACUAGCAACUUGCAUGGUAUGUGCAAGUAAAUAAACUCCACUAUUUUGAGUUGUCCGCACAUCAUCUUGUGCCUUGAUAUUGAAUUUAAUACCUUUAAUAAGAUAGCUCCUAUAUAAUGGCACUGACAUGUUUGGACCAGCUGCUAGCCACCUUAAAUUUUCUGAUACGCCAUGAUUGUCUUCCUCAAGUUCACUUUGAACCUGCAAAUUAAUCAUAUCUUAAUUCAAUCUAACAUAUAAAUAAGAAGAAAAUUAAAAGAGAAAUAUGUUAUUCAACAAUAUAUACCUUGAAGCGUAGCCAUUGAAUGAAAGUGCUAUUGUGCUUAUCCUGCAGCCACUUUGUUCUCUUUCUAAAUUUUGGAUAAGCAGUCUUGAUGUGAAUCAUAUGUUGCCUACAUGACACGAAAAAUUCAAGCAUUACGGUCCUAAAUAUAGAAGAUAAACAUAAGAAAUAAUUUAAAAUGGAAACUUAAAGAAUAAAGCUCAUACGUACUCGAUAUAAGGUAGGACUUCCUCCGUAUUCUCCAAGACAUAUAGAUGUGCUUGAUUCAACAGGUCCUGAUCAACUACGCUCACUGUGCAACCUGAUAAUGGCUUUGAAAGUCCCAUCUUUUGGCUUGAAGGCACUCCAACUGUACUAACAUCAGAUAAAUGCUGAGUACAACACUCUACCGCUUCUUCAGCUAUAUACCGCUCAGCAAUGCAACCUUCGGGACGAGUACGAUUCUGAACAUACCCCUUCAGCACUUUCAUAUAUCUUUCAAACGGAUACAUCCACCUAAAAUAUACUGGCCCACAUAGACGAACUUCUCUGACAAGAUGUACUACUAGAUGAACCAUGAUAUCAAAGAAUGAAGGGGGAAAGUACUUCUCAAGCAAACACAGAGUAACUACUACAUCUUCUUCCAACUUAUCUAGCUUGGAAACAUCAACAGUCUUUGCACAUAUAGCAUUGAAGAAGAAGCACAAACGAGUUAUUGCAUACCUUGCAGGCUUCUCCAAAACAGAACGAAUUGCCACAGGGAGCAAUUGUUGCAUUAAGGUAUGACAAUCAUGUGAUUUAAGGCCAAGAAGUCUUGAAUCUUGUAAAGAUACAAGAUUUUUAAUAUUUGAAGAAUAACCUUCAGGGACCUUCAUACCAUAGAAAGAAUUGCAAACCUCUCUCUUCUCUGCUCUUGACAAAUUCCAAGGCCCAGGAGGCAAACGAGUACGUCUUUCUCCAUACUCGGGUUGCAAAUCAGUUUUGACCCCCAUGUUCAAUAAAUCUAAUCGAGCAGCAAUCCCAUCUUUAUUUUUUCCAGGGAUCUCCAGCAAUGUACCAAUGAUACUAUCGCAAACAUUCUUCUCAAUGUGCAUAACAUCUAGGGCAUGCCUCACAGGAAGGUAUUUCCAAUACUCGAGAUCAAAGAAUAUUGAUUUCUUCUUCCAACAAACUCUGUCACCAUUUUCAACCAUAUGCAGCACUUCUUCUCCGGUUAAUGGCUCGGGAGGUAUGCCAUAUUCAGGUUUCCCAUUAAAAGCUGCACGUUGCCUCCUAUAUGGAUGAUUGAUUGGUAACCAUUUUCUAUGCCCAAUGUAACAAAUUUUGUGGCCAUUUUUCAACCUGUGACUAGGUGUAUCAUCGCCGCAUAUUGGACAAGCUUUAUAUCCUUUAACAACAGAACCAGAUAAGUUUCCAUAGGCGGGGAAAUCAUUAAUUGUCCACAUUAAUGCAGCUCUGAGUGUAAAGUAUUCUCCAUUAUGUGCAUCAUACACUCCUCUAAUCCCAACCCACAAGGAUUUUAAAUCAUCAAUCAAAGGCUCCAAGUAGACGUCUAUAUCAUUUCCGGGUUGUUUAGGACCGGAAAUCAAUAAGGUUAACAUCAUGAACUUUCGUUUCAUGCACAGCCAUGGAGGGAGAUUAUAUGUAACUAAGAUAACCGGCCAACAACUAUAUCUGCUACUUAGAGAACUGUGGGGAUUGAAUCCAUCAGAUGAAAGAGCCAAUCUCAAGUUUCUCGGCUCAUUACCAAACUCAGGCCAUUUAUCAUCAAGAAGUUUCCAAGACGGGGAAUCCGCCGGAUGAGACAUCUGACCGUCAAUUGAUUUUCUAGCAGCAUGCCACCAAGUCAAACUCUUAGCUGUCUCAUGUGAUUGAAACAUCCUUUUAAACCUUGGAAUUGGGGGAAAAUACCACACCACCUUCGCUGGCACACCCUCUUUCAAGAUUGAAUCUUUGCCUUCCUUCCACCUUGAGAUACCACAAGUAGGACAAUUAGUUGAAUCCUCAUACUCCUUCCUAUACAAGAUGCAAUCAUUGGGGCAUGCGUGCAUUUUCUCAUAACUCAGCCCCAAUGCACACAAAGUCUUUUUAGCCUCAUACAUGGAGGUUGGUAUUGUAUUUCCUUCUGGAAGCAAAUCGCCUUGAAGUAUCAAUAAUUCUGUAAAACAGACAUCACUCAUCCCAUGUUUUGCCUUCAAAUUAUACAACUUCACUAAUGCCGAUAACUUCGUGUACUUUCUACAACCAGGGUACACUGGUUGAUCUCCAUCCCCAAUCACAUUGGCAAACUCAUACGGAUCCGAACCAAAAUCACCAAAAUCAUUAUCAUCCAUAUCAAUUUCUUCAGACACAAAACUGUACCUACUAUGGCCAUCAUCUUCUUCAACAUUUCUACUAGCAUUAGUAGUUGCUUCCCAAGGUUCUCCGUGAAAUGUCCAAUUCUUAUAGCUUUGGUCAAUUCCAUUAAAGUAUAAGUGAUCCCUUAUAAUUCCAACCCCAAACAACUUCAAAUUAACACAUUUAACACAUGGACAACGGAUAUGUGUUGUAGUUAGAAGAUUUUCUACAGCAAAGUUCAAAAAUGCUUCCACCCCAAAUUCAUAUGCCUUCGAUCUUCUAUCCGAGUGCAUCCAUGACUUAUCCAUCUCCGACACUAUAACCUAUUAUCUAUAAUAAAGUGAAAAUACAGGCAAUGACCAUCACUAUAGCAGAUUAUAAAAUGAUCUAAUCGCAAGUAAUACACAACAGAGACGACGGGUUUUAAACAAAAACAGACGUAUUUGGCAUAUAUAGACGACGGAUUUUCAACAGACGUCGUCUAUUAUAAGUAAUACAAACGACGGUUUAUGAAAAAACCGUCGUGUAUAAGUAAUACAACGACGGUAGUUUAAAAAAAUCGUCGUGUAAUCGUCGUCGUAAGCCUUAAAAUUCGUCGUGUCUCAGUUUAUUUUCAAGAACACAAAACCCAUUAAGAACACAACAUAUAUAUGAAACCAAGCAAGAAACCAACAUAUACAUGAAACCAAGCAUGAAAACAAUAAAUCCAUUCCCAAUUCAACAUAACAGAUAAUCCAUGAACCCAUUAAACAGAAAAUCCAUGAACCCAUACCUAUAAGCACAUUAUUAACAGAUCGCAAAGCAUACACAUAAAACCCUUUAACAAAACAACCUAAUAUAACUCGAAUCGUUACUAGAAUCAUCACUCGAAUCCCCAUCUUCAUUAUCAGUUUCUUCCUUCGUAGGUACUAUUUGCUCCCCAUCAUUUUCUCCAUAGCGGAAAAUGACAAGAUCAAAUAAAGGUGUACUUUUGCUGGAAAUCAUUUGGAAGUUGGUGAUCUGUGUCUUUUUGUGUUGAUUUCCAGCAAAAGUACACCUUUAUUUGAUCUUGUCAUGAACCCAUUAAACAGAAAAUCCAUGAACCCAUACCUAUAAGCACAUUAUUAACAGAUCGCAAAGCAUACACAUAAAACCCUUUAACAAAACAACCUAAUAUCAUUCAAUGAAUUUACAAGGGGAAGAUAGGGUUUAUACUUACAGGUUGGACGAGCUCACAGAUUCGACGGAGCCUGGAGAGUGCAACUUUUAAUUAGAGCAGAAGUGAGAGAGCGAAAUGUUAUGUCGCGCGAAAUCUGAAAAUUUAAGGUUUCAGGGUUCGAAGUAUAAGAAUAAGAGCCAAAUCUAAAAAAAUUUAGGUCGCGCGAAAAUUUUUAGAGUUCGCGCGUUUUAAAACGUCGAAAGAAAAACCAAGGCGAAAGUUCUACACGUACCGACGUAAAUUUAAUAUUCCACGACGGAAACUUCAUUUUUCGGAUUAAGAACGUAAGGCCGUUCAUUUUGAAGCUUCAUUUUUCGGAUUAAUUUUAAAUUUAUUUUGAAUUUUUUAUAUAACGACGACUGAAAAACCACGUCGGUGUUAAGAAAUUAAAGACGUUGUAAAUUAUAUAAACCGACUUACAUAUUAAAAUGACGUCGUUUAAAGCGUAAACCAUGUCGUAUGUUUUUCUGUACGACGUAAAAUAUGUAUUCCACGACGCAACCACCGUCGUUAAAAAUUAAUACCCUAAACCCAUAAAACUAAAUUAUACAAUUUAAAAAAUUAAGUUUAUAAAAGGUUUUAUGGUUUUAAAGCCUAACAUAUACCCUAGACUACCCAAAAAUUAUACUUUAAAAAUAAACCCCAAUAAAUAACAACCCUAAUCUCUAAACCCUAGACUCUAAACCCUAAACCAUAAAACUAGAAGUGAUUUUAUGACUCAUCAAAACAAUUUUGUUUUGGAUGGUCAUUUUAAAUUUUUGUUAUUCAAAAUGAAUUUUUUCAAGGUUUAUGUGGAAGAAAAUAUAUCAAUGACUUCAUAGGAGUUGACUUUUCAAUUUUCUGAUUUAUUUUAAAUUUAUUUUGAAUAUUUUGAUAUAAAAAUAAUAAAAUAUUCUUACCACAACAACAAACCACGUCGGUGUUAAUAAAUUGUAGACGUUGUAAAUUGUAAUAGACUACUAAGUCGUUAAAAUGACGUCGUUAAAAUGAGAAACCAUGGCGGCUAUUUAACUAUACGACGUAAAAUAUAUAUAUCAACGACUUAACCGCUGUCGUUACAUAAACGUCGUCGAUGAUACCCUGAACCCUUAAGAAAUUGAAGAUGUUGUAAACCAUAAACGACUCAAUUGUUCAAAGAACGUCGUCUAACUAUAUUUUUACGUCGUAUUUGUUUAAAACACGAAACAACAAAAUACGACGGUUUGUGACUUUAUUAGGUCGUUGGAAAAGUAUUACACGUCGGUUAAGCAAUUUGUAUGUUUGUUUUUUUUUUAAUUUAAGAAAACCUCAACAAAUUUUUACAUUACAUAUUAUAGAGAAAAUUUGUACAUUAUACAUAAAUAUCAAGUGUUCAAUAAUUGCCCUGUUUAAUAAUUUGGAAAACAAACUCUGCCCAUUCAUUCCGGACUUCAUCAAUGGCUUCUUGGGGGUAUGAAGCUUCCUGGUUUCCCUUGGCAUACUGCAUAAACAAUGACUAUUAGGGUUUAUAAAUAAAAAGAAAUUCAAUCACAGACGACGAUAUUUUUCAUAACCGACGUAGUAUAUCCAUUCAACGACGUUAAUUUUACAUGACCGUCGUUGAUAAUACAAAAAACGACGUGAAAUGUAUGAAGGUAAUUUCUUCUUACCUUAUUCUCAAACCCCAAGGAAGGAUCCAUGAUGAUGUCCCUCAUGAAGCGCAUCACAUAAUACCCGCAUUCGACAUUGCUGGGUUGCUUUGGUGUGCCUGAGAGAGUUUUCCAAAUUACAUUUUUACGUCCUGCUCGGGCUAUGUGGGUAUUAUAUAUUUUUAAAGCACUGUUCACGAUGUUUUUCGCCUCUUCGUCGACCACACGAUGACCUGGCAGAGGAUCCAGAAAAUAGACGGUCUCCUUCUUUGCUCUUACAAUCAGCAAGAUCCAAUGACGGCUGCACAAAAUUAAUAUAAAAACGACGGUUAUUUACAAAAACGACGUAUUAUAGUAUUCACACGACGAAANNNNNNNNNNNNNNNNNNNNNNNNNNNNNNNNNNNNNNNNNNNNNNNNNNNNNNNNNNNNNNNNNNNNNNNNNNNNNNNNNNNNNNNNNNNNNNNNNNNNCGACGGUUUAUUUACAAAACCGACGUAUAAUAGUAUUUCCACACGACGAAAUAAAGUAGAUAACGACGACAUUAUAUAUUUAUCACGACGAUAAAUAAAUACCGACGUGGUUAGUAGUUUCAAACGACUAAAUAAAAUAAAACACCGACGUGGUUAGUUUAUAAUCUGUCAUUUAUUGAAAAUCAUAAAAACAAAAUCCUAAGGAGACUAACCCUGGAUUGUAAGGCAUCAUGAAAAUCUGUUCACCCGUCUGUCUUCUGAAGUCGAGCUGCUACCAGUCGUGAUCUUUCAGUUAUUGUGCCAGAGUUGGCACUAACUGUAGCAGGGUCGAUAAAGCCAACCAUGCUGCACAUAUUGGCUUGUUUCAAAACAUCGUGUAAGUACCUAAAUACAUAAAAUAAUAUAAACAAGUCAGCACAAACAAACAUGACGGUUAUGUAUAAAAAAACGACGUAUUAUAAUAUUUCACACGACGUACUGAAAUAGAUGAGGACGUUAUAAUAUAUUUAUCACGACGGUAGUUAGUUAAGACGACGUGGUUAGUUAGUUAAGACGACGCAAUAUAUAAACCAACGAGGUAUUAUUUUAGAAGUACAAACCUCAUAUAUACAGCCAAUACAGUAGCUCCAAUUUCUUCCAUGCCUGCAAAUUGUGUAAUAUCUUCAGGCAGGAGGAAGGUAUCGCGCUCACCACCAAACACCUCCUUAUUAAUUGUAAAUUGGAGUGUCUUAUCCUCAGGCAGGAGUGUCGUUUCCACAAAACGACAAAGGGUUUUUAAAGAAGAUGGCGCCUCCAUAUUUGAAUAAGCACCAACUUCAAUAACCUGUUUAAAGAAAUAAAAAAAAUGACAUGGUAAUUCAAUAAAGACGACGGUUUAAGUAAUAAAACGUUGUCUUAAAAGUAUUUAAACGACGGUGAAAAAACCGUCGUGGUAAUUCAAUAAAGACGACGGUUUUAUGAAUAAAGCGUCGUCUGAAACCAUUUAAACGACGGUGCAAAAAUCGUCGUUUAAAUAUUUUAUUACGUCUUAAAAAAAUUCCGCCGUCUAAGUUUUAAACAAACGACGGAUUAAAUAAAAAUAUCGACGUCUGAAAUUUUGAAAAACAAAUAAAAAAGGCAAAGUUAUGUGAACAUACCUUGUCGUCAUGCUUUUCUUCAUCUUCUUUCUCCUUUUCUUCUUCCUUCUCUUCAUCUCUUUUUUCUUCUUCCUUCUCUUCAUCUGGCUGAUGUUUCCCCAUUUUGGCAGUAUCAUCCUCCAAAUGUAGGGAUCUCACAUCACCUCCAGAGCAGCUAGCUUUGUCAGACAUUGGAUUUUUGGGGCUUUGGCUAAUUCUUGGUUUAAGCAUGCUUGGAUCAAAAUUGGGAAUUAAUUGGGAAAGCUGACUCAGGAAAUGCUCCCUCUCAGCCUCUACCAAUUGUUUUGUCCUAGCCUCCAUCCUUAAGGCCUCUUCCCUUGCCUUAGCCUCCAUCUUUUUAGUCUCUUCUUGAAGGAGAACUCUUAAACUGUCCUUCAAACGGUCGUCAAAGCUCACCCUCUGUGGUUUGGGAAAAUUGAAAUAUUGCCUUGGGGAAACACCAGCACCAACUCCCCUCAGUCUGCCUGGAUGCUCGGGGCCCAAAGCCAUGGUCAGCACAUCAUUGCUGCCAUCUACUCUGACUUUGCCUUCCGAGACUUGUUUCUGCAAUUCAUCCUAAAAAAAGAUAAACAAAAAAACACACGACGGUUAUUUAUGUACAAACGACGUAUUAUAUAAUUUCACACGACGCAAUAACGUAUAAACCGACAUUAUUAUAACUUAUCACGACGGUGGUUAUACCGACGUGGUUAUUUAUUUAAAACGACGAAAUGAAUAAACAACCGACGUCUUAUGCUAUAAUUAAAGAUAACAGAGUAGUGACUCCUAUUUAGACCGUUAACGACGUUUUUAAAAAAGUUUCGACGUGGUAAUAUCAUUCACACGACGCGAAAAUGAACCACCGACGUCUUAUGCUAUAAUUACAGAAAACAUAGUAGUGAUUCCUAUUUAGACCUUUAACGACGUUUUUAAAAACUUUUCGACGUGGUAAUAUCAUUCACACGACGCAAAAUAUAACAUACGACGUAAUAAGAAUAAUUCACAGUUUAAUACAAAUUUAAAACAGAGUGAUAGUAGGCUUACUAUUAAUUUUGCUUUCUCUGCCACCUUUGGAUCAGGGAUGUUACCAUGUUUGUCCUGUCUAGCUCUCUUCCAUAAGGUAGAUCGAUCAAUUUCUACCCCAGGCAUGGUUUCCUCCAAUUGAUCCUCCAAUCCAGCAUAUCCUUUUCGAGACAAUCGAUGAUUGUACUCGAGUUUCUCCCUAAUCUGUGCAUGUUGAGAAUGCACAGACUCAAAAUCUUUGGAUAGCCUUGAAGCUACAAAGGCAUCCCAUUGUGCUUUCUCUGUGAAUUUAUAUGUUUCAGGGGGUUGGCUUAAUUUCUCCCUGUCAUUGGUGUAUGGAAGGAUAUAAUGCCUCGUUAGUGUAGACUUGAAAUCCUUCCAUUUCUUGGAAGCAGAAGCUAAAACAGAGGUCUUGCCCCCUUGGCCUACGACAAAAGCCAUGUCAACUGCUUCCCAAAUCUGCUCCUUUAUAUCCUUGGGGAUUUGGGACCAUUUCUUGUCCACAAGUGGGAUCCUGGAGCGUGCCAACACACCAAUAUACGACUGCAUCUCAAUAUGUGCUUGGCCAACACCUUUCCCCCUUUUAUUGUACUCAACAAUUGGCCUCAGUUUCUGAAGCUUUCUCUUCACAACACGAGGCAUUGUGCUCAUACCUCGACCAGUCUUUGAAUCAUCUGAGAUUGUUGUCUGGCUGGUUUGUUCUGUCUCAGCAGAUGAUGAAGCAAACUUCAUCUUCUUCGAAGACUUCAUCUCCUUCGAAGACUUGUCUUGAGGAGCUACCAUUCCAAGCUUCUUGGAGCCAGAAUCCUUAGUUUGUUGUUGAGAAACCAUUUUAACAGACAAAACUGCAAGUGAAAAUAUUUCAGGAAAACAUUAAGAACACAAACGACGGUAUUAAAAAAAUACGACGUAUGAUAUGAUUGUAGACGACGCAAUGAAAUAAUCUCAGACGUAAUAAAUGUUUAAAACCAUUAUUUAUAUAACGUCGUGGUAUAUAUGUUCACACGACGUCAAUAGUAAUACACCGUCGUGGUAAACUAUUAUUUAUAUAACGUCGUGGUAUUUAUGUUCAUAUGACGUCAAUAGUAAUACACCGUCGUGGUAUUAACAUUCACACGACGUAAAACAAUAAGAUAUUUUGUCGUCUAUAUUAGAUACCAACCCUAGUUUCUUUUUCUUUAUAUUUUAUCAAAUAAGGGAAAAACAAAAACCAUUGUUCAGCGAAAUCAAACCUGCAAUUAAACAAGCAUAUAAAAAAAGACUAUUAUUUUAAAAACAACUUUGUCAAUUUUCAGACGACGCUAGAACAACUGACGAACCGUCGUGGUCUACCUUCGUCUUAUUUAGUUGAUGUAGUUGUCUUCAAAGUUGGAAACUUUCACUCUUUGUCUGUAUAUUUUAUCAAACUUGGAAAGAAGUAAAAUGAUUUUGGCCAGAAAAAAGGUAAAAAGAUUUUUCAAACAAAAAACGUAUGAGCAUGCAAAACAGUAACCAAAAUAGUGAAGAUGAAAGCUUACCUUUUGCGUGCAAUGAAAGCAAGAGGAAGAUGAUCGAUGUUUAAGUUCAGAGACGACGAAGAAGACGAGAGGAAGACGAUGAGAAACUCUGACAAUGCUCUGACAAGGAAAAAAGACGAAAAGGUUUCUCUGGGAGAUUGAAAUUUUUAAUCGGGUUUGGAAACAGUGCAUGUGUAAGUCGAAAAGUUGCUUACAUAUAAAACCAUUUCAAAAAAAUAAUACGGCGGUUACAUUUAACUACGUCGUUUUUAACUAAAACGACGCAAUAUUUUUCAUUCGACGUGGAAUCAUUUCAUUUAACGUCGUUAGGUUUAAUAUAACCGACGUGGAUUUUAAUUUUUAAAUUAUGAAUAGAAUUUUUUUUCCCGUGACCUUUCAGUUUAUUUUUCAAUUACAGUGCGUUAUAAAUAGAGUUUUUUUUCCGGAGGAAAUUUAAAACGAAGGAAAUUAAUAUUCUGCAAUAUGUAAAGUUUCUUUUUUGGAUGACAGAUUUAAAUAAAAUAAGAAUAUAAAAACAACAAAUGUGUAAGUCAAGUAGACGAAAAGUUGCUUACAUAUAAAACCAUUUCAAAAAAAUAAUACGGCGGUUACAUAUAACUACGACGUAUAAAUUACAAAAUACGACGGUACAUUUAACUUCGGACAUGGUAAAUAAAUACGACAGUAGUUUGUAGGUACCGUCGUAGUAAACUCAAAAAUUAAAGUACAUAAGUAAUAACUCGCGUCAUGGUAUAUUAUUUAACACGUCGUUUGUAUUAAUUUACCGACGUGGAUUUCUGUAAUAUACGUCGAUAAUACCGACGUUGAUUUUACAAUUUAAACGGCGGUUUUUUUGUAAGGACCGCCGUUGGUUUUAAAAAUUUAUUCUAUAAAUUUGUCGCUUUCAUUCAUUUUCGGUUUACAUUUAAGGUUCCAAGUUCUUCCUCUCUCAGUCUCUCAUGUCUCAAAGACAAUAAUUUGGAUGUUUUCUCAAAGAGAAAUUGAGCUUACUCGCAUCAAAUAUAUGUCCACAAGAAGAAGCUUGUCAACUAGCCUUCUCACUUCCUUGAUCAAGCCUGAUAGGACACUUAGUGCUUCUGAAUACUCCUUGCUUUCCAUCAAAAGAGAUGCAAGCCUGGCCUCCACUCGCUGUCGAAGGAAAGUUCGCUUCUCAGGGAAAUCUGAAGAUCAGAUGUGCCUGAUCCUCUGCUUGAUUUUCUUGCCUAAGAAGAUCCGUCGGAUUUAUUGUGAUAGCCUCUUCCUUUAUCCGUAGAGCUUCAGAAGAAGAAGAUGGGUUUCAAGAAUGCGAUAAAGAAUAGAAAUUGCUUCAGAUGGCCUCUAAAGCAUGAGCAAUUGAAUCAGUAGUUUCUGGGAGAUAUGAUGAAGACAUUGUCAAUGCUUUGAACUACACAAGUCCUGCAGAAAGAUAUGUUAAAGAAACUGAAACAACGGCGGUUUUCUGUUCUACCGUCGUCUUUUAUCGUCGUCUAUAUUAAGUUAAGAUGGCGGUAGAUUUAUAAUUACCGACGUAGAUUAUUUUGUUAAACGUCGUUAAGUGUACUACAACCGACAUGGAUUUUAAUUUUAAAUUAUAAAUAGAGUUUUUUUUCCCGUAUUCUUUCAGUUUUAGUUUUCAAUUCCAAAGCGUGAUAAAUAGAUUUUUCUUUCCCGAGGAAAUUUAAAAUGAGGGAAAUUAAUGUUCUAGAAUUUGUAAACUAACACGACGCAAUAUUUGCAAAUCAGUGUCAUCUGUUAAGAUUAUGAUGUGGAACAGAGUUCCAUCUGGUAAGAUUUCGUAACCCUUGGGAUCUCAGACAAAACUGAUUAUGUCGGCGGUGUUCUAUAUAAACCGUCGUGGUUAUUUCAAUUCUUGUCAUUAAGUAGAUCUACCGACGUAGGAUAAGAAAAUCAAAGAAAAAAAUUGUUAACAAAAAUUCUUAUUAAGACGACCGUUAAAAUUAAAGGUACGACGUAUAAAAUGAAUAAAUACGACGAUAAAUUUUAUUGUACGAUUUAAAGAUAACGUCGUAGAACUAUACGAGAAUGACGUCGAUAUAUUUAUAUUUUCCGUCGUUGUAAAUUAAUUUAAUACGGCGAUAUUUUGUAUUUUAAAGCCGUGGAUUUGUUUGUAAUUAUACGGCGUCUUAUACGAAAACCUCGUCGUGUUAUUUUAUGAGUAAAAACGGCAGUUUUUAUUGAAAUCGUCGUCUUUACUUUCUACGUCGGUCGAUUCAUAACUUCUGCCGUUCUUUGUUGGCAUUGAUUUUACACUGCGGAAAUCUGUUUCAAAUAGACGUCGGUUGUUUAAUUAUGUACGUCGUUGUUUUUGAACAGCCAUUUGAAACUCCAUUUUUUAGUUGUCUAAGGUUGUAUUACACGACGGUGUUUUUAGAACCGUCGUCUUUUUAUAAACCACGACGAUUUUCACUUAGACCGUCGUUGUUUUCUGGUCGUCUUUUUCACUUUUUGUAGUAGUGACUCUUCAGCAAUAUUUUAUCAAAAUAUCGCUAUAAUAUCGAAAAUAUCGAUGUAAUGAAAAAAAAAGAAAAAAGAAGAAGCACAAAACACACAUGCAAAGGGGAUUCAAACUCUUGCCAUUUCACUCUUUCAACGCCUUAACCACCAUGUUGCUUAUGAUUUUUUGAUAAUAUGGUAAAAUAUGUAUAUUUAUAUUCUUUUGUUUUGAACUGUUUUUGUAAGAAUCAGAUUUUCACAUGAGAAUGUGAGUCAUUGACCGUUCUUUUUGGGAUGGAAUCGAGCGGCUCACGGAAAGAAUUUAAGACCCAAAUCUUCAAAUGAUUUUGCUUAUAGACAAUGUCAAUCAAUCUCAGAUCCAUAUGGGUGACAUGUUAACAAUUACAUACAAAACUAUUUUGAGGAUUUAUCAUUUGAUGACUACUCUUCACAAUACACUUAUUCUACACAUAGAGAUGAUGAAGAUAGUGAAAAAUUUGAACUUCAUAGGAACUCUAUGUGGCACUAAGUCACUCAUGUAUCUUAGCAUGCAAGUAUAAAGUGUAAGAUAUUGUAGUAAAUUAUUAUAUAUAAAUGAUUAUGGUGUGUUUAAUCUUCUUUCAUUAAUUAUUACAUAUUUUCUAUACUCACAAUGUUCAUCAGCUUGCUAUAUAAUCAACUUAAAUCAGUUAAACCCAUCAUGCAAUGCAUUUCCUUCCAAUUUUUUGUGACUAAUAGAUAAUUGACUAAAUAAACAUCCUCCAAAGUUUCAAUAAAAUUUUCCAAGUUUUUCUUAUAAUUUACGUCGUUUUUAUUCAAUUUUCAUCGAUAUCAAUAAUAUUCAGAUAUUUCCAUCGAAUUUUCGUGUAUUUGGACUACCGAUAUUUUCGAUACCAUCGAUAUUUUAGACCUUGGGUAUAAUAUAUAUAUAUGAUAAAGAUGGACUCAUUAGAAUUCCAAGUCAUCCAACAUCGGUGGAUUAUGUUCAAUCAAAACUAGAAACUCCGAAAGCCACGAUGUCACACCAUAUGUGAAGCCAAGUCUUCAGAGGUCUAAGCCCAACCCGUGGAAGUAGGCCCAAAACCUCCUGAUGUUUUUAUGCACGUGACGAGAUCCAUCCAAGGAAAGCAGUUGAAGAAAUUGAUGUCAAUCCGGAACAUUCAUAAUGAGGAGAGAAUCAAGUGAUUAGAUUUGCAAUUCGAUAAUCUCAUUCGAAUUAAUUCCGCGGAUUUUGGAAGCUACGAAAAGAAAAUUUUUGAACGAAGUUGACCUUUUGUCAUUUGAUGGCCAACCCAUGGACUGACAGAUGCCCCUAUAUAUACCUCUUUAGAUGAAGAGCAAAGGAGACCGACAUGAGAUACAAAAACCUACUUUUUGUUUUUCACUUUUCUAUCCCUGGACUAGGUUUUUAUUUUCCAAGCAAGUAGACUAGAUUAGUUCUUCGAUUUCGUUAGUGUAAGUUUAAUUUCUUGCAUUUUCCAUUACGUUAUUUUAAGAUCCAAAUUUGUUGCUUUACUUUUAAUUGUUAUCGAUUUUUUUUUAAGUUUAAUAUAAUUUCAAAUUGCUUUAUUUUAUCAUAUUUAUCGUUCAUAUCGUUCAUAUAGUUCUUGUUUCAUUCUUACUUAAAUUUACGUUUAUUGUUGCUUCAAUCUUAUUUUUGCAUUUAUUUUCUUGUUAUUUAGUGGCUUGGUGGCUUGGUUUGCCUCAUACUAUGUAGAAGUGCAUGUACAAUUCGAUUUGAAGGGUGCAAAUUCAAGUGCAAAGAAGACACCAACGGGCACGGGUAGAGGUGGUUCAUCUGCCACAGCUGAGAAAAAAGGCGGCCAAGGUUCGGGGCUGAUGGAAAGAGAAAGAGAAGAAGAGGGAGAUGAAAGAAGAGACGUUGCCUUUCCUUCUUCCUGUAUUUGGCACGUUUUUUAAGAAAAUGUAAAUAGAUUUUUCCUCCACACAAACAUUUUUGGUAGGUCACUUGGUGAGGAACGGUAGGAUCUUCGGUUGUAGUGUUGGCUUACAGGGUUAUACUGGUGAUACUAUUGAAUUCAACUCCAAGAUUUAUCUUUUGCCUUUAGUAGCAUUUUAUUUUCAUCAAUGCACUAGAUAAUGGUUUUAGUAGAUUAACUUGUGUUUACGGUGGUUUGAUAUAGUGUGUCAGGUGACAAUUCUCACUGAGUAAUCUGAGAACCAGAGCUUCUACAAAAUCACUAACCAGUUCAUAAAAUAUGUUUGUCUUUUUCUAAUCUCACCAUGAGAAAUAUUAAUUAAUUUGCCUUAACAAAAAUAAUACAAAGUAUUGGUUUGUAUUAAACUUUGUUGGUUAAUACUUUUUUUAAUAAAAAAUUUGCUGCUGGUUAAUCUCUGGUUAAGCUUAAUAUUUAGGAGGGGUGUGUUUUCUCACACACAAAUGUCAAAGUGCCAUAAGGAUUUGAACAGAAGACUAUUAGUCUGCAAAGCAAGGUACUUUUUCACUAGUGUCCGAAUCAAAUCAUGCUUGAAGAAUACUAAUAGGGGAUUUUUCUUUCAGCUGAUAAAAGUAAAACAUCAAAGCUCAUCAUGGUGAUCGAAAACCAGAUGCAUCCAAAUUGCAAGGCAUGCCUUUCUCUUUGUGGUAGUAUAAUGAGCAUCCCUCUCAUACCCUCCAUAAUAAUCCUAAGCAUUAAUGUUGUAAAUUAGAUAAAUCCAUACAUACAUAAAACGAGCAUAAUAAGUAAUAGUAGCUAGUGGGAAUUAUAUCCCAACAAUUCAACAAGAACGAACAAAGUAGUAAUAUUCUCACUCUCAUAGCAAUACUACAAAUAGUAGGACAAAACAAUAUUGGUAAACACACGAGUGGUCCAUAUAGUUCUCCAGAAAUCCCUAAAAUAGAUCUUGCAUCUAGGUAUGCAACACCAUAUGAAGGGCCCAUACCAUAUGUGAUUAUGAACCUUUAUUUAACUACAUAUAGAUAUAGUAGUACAACAAAUAUUACUGUCCGUCUGGGAAACGGAAACCGUCAAUAUGCUACUGAUAAUAUGUCGAUAUAAUUGUCGCCAAUAAAACGUACUGACAUGUUAUCGAUACAUUUUCAGUAAUAUCGAUGCACAUAUAUUAUUUCAACAAUAUGCACAACCUUUAUUUAAUAAAGAACUGAUGGCUUGCAUAGAGAACUUCUGAGAUAUUCAUCAGAGACGUAUAUGUAAACACCAUUUUUAUUAAGGGGUGGUGGUUAUUGAAGGUGGAGAGAACGGAAAUAUGGGAGUUGAUGGGAAAUUUGGAAGUGAAGUAAUAAUAGGGGGAGGCAACCUAUAUUCUGGCCAUAAAGGUGUGGAGGUCAGAGGAGGAAACUUCAGGUUAGGGAUCUUGGGCAGCUUAUAACGAGGAAAGGUAGGGGCUAAGAGUUUUCGAGGGGCAGCGAAAGCUGAAUGUGUGCUUGAAAGUAAUGAAGCGAUGACAAAGAUAGCUAUGACAAACGAUUUCCAAGUUGCCAUCUUAGUGUGUGGAAAUAAAGCUUAUGAAAUUUGAUGUGAACGAGAAGACCAGCCUAUGGUUAUAAUUUAUAACGUUCAGAGGGAAC